AUUGAACGCUGGCGGCAUGCUUUACACAUGCAAGUCGAACGGUAACAGGUUAAGCUGACGAGUGGCGAACGGGUGAGUAAUGCAUCGGAACGUGCCCGAUCGUGGGGGAUAACGCAGCGAAAGCUGCGCUAAUACCGCAUACGAUCUGAGGAUGAAAGCGGGGGACCGUAAGGCCUCGCGCGAUCGGAGCGGCCGAUGUCAGAUUAGGUAGUUGGUGGGGUAAAGGCUCACCAAGCCAACGAUCUGUAGCUGGUCUGAGAGGACGACCAGCCCCACUGGGACUGAGACACGGCCCAGACUCCUACGGGAGGCAGCAGUGGGGAAUUUUGGACAAUGGGCGAAAGCCUGAUUCAGCAAUGCCGCGUGCAGGAAGAAGGCCUUCGGGUUGUAAACUGCUUUUGUACGGAGCGAAAAGGUCUCCUCUAAUACAGGGGGCUCAUGACGGUACCGUAAGAAUAAGCACCGGCUAACUACGUGCCAGCCGCCGCCGUAA
rnacentral:rRNA from 1 species